rnacentral:rRNA from 1 species
GACGAACGCUGGCGGCGUGCUUAACACAUGCAAGUCGAACGGAAAGGCCCUGCUUUUGUGGGGUGCUCGAGUGGCGAACGGGUGAGUAACACGUGAGUAACCUGCCCUUGACUUUGGGAUAACUUCAGGAAACUGGGGCUAAUACCGGAUAGGAGCUCCUGCUGCAUGGUGGGGGUUGGAAAGUUUCGGCGGUUGGGGAUGGACUCGCGGCUUAUCAGCUUGUUGGUGGGGUAGUGGCUUACCAAGGCUUUGACGGGUAGCCGGCCUGAGAGGGUGACCGGCCACAUUGGGACUGAGGUACGGGCCGGACUCCUACGGGAGGCAGCAGUGGGGAAUAUUGCACAAUGGGCGGAAGCCUUAUGCAGCGACUCCGCGUGCUGGAUGACGGCCUUCGGGUUGUAAACCGCUUUCGCCUGUGACGAAGCGUGAGUGACGGUAAUGGGUAAAGAAGCACCGGCUAACUACGUG